GGCUUAACACACGCAAGUCGAGGGGCAUCAUGCUUAUAGCAAUAUAAGUGAUGGCGACCGGCGCACGGGUGAGUAACACGUAUCCAACCUGCCGUCUACUCUUGGACAGCCUUCUGAAAGGAAGAUUAAUACAAGAUGGCAUCAUGAGUCCGCAUGUUCACAUGAUUAAAGGUAUUCCGGUAGACGAUGGGGAUGCGUUCCAUUAGAUAGUAGGCGGGGUAACGGCCCACCUAGUCUUCGAUGGAUAGGGGUUCUGAGAGGAAGGUCCCCCACAUUGGAACUGAGACACGGUCCAAACUCCUACGGGAGGCAGCAGUGAGGAAUAUUGGUCAAUGGGCGAGAGCUUGAACCAGCCAAGUAGCGUGAAGGAUGACUGCCCUAUGGGUUGUAAACUUCUUUUAUAAAGGAAUAAAGUCGGGUAUGGAUACCCGUUUGCAUGUACUUUAUGAAUAAGGAUCGGCUAACUCCGUGCCAGCAGCCGCGGUAAUACGGAGGAUCCGAGCGUUAUCCGGAUUUAUUGGGUUUAAAGGGAGCGUAGAUGGAUGUUUAAGUCAGUUGUGAAAGUUUGCGGCUCAACCGUAAAAUUGCAGUUGAUACUGGAUAUCUUGAGUGCAGUUGAGGCAGGCGGAAUUCGUGGUGUAGCGGUGAAAUGCUUAGAUAUCACGAAGAACUCCGAUUGCGAAGGCAGCCUGCUAAGCUGCAACUGACAUUGAGGCUCGAAAGUGUGGGUAUCAAACAGGAUUAGAUACCCUGGUAGUCCACACGGUAAACGAUGAAUACUCGCUGUUUGCGAUAUACUGCAAGCGGCCAAGCGAAAGCGUUAAGUAUUCCACCUGGGGAGUACGCCGGCAACGGUGAAACUCAAAGGAAUUGACGGGGGCCCGCACAAGCGGAGGAACAUGUGGUUUAAUUCGAUGAUACGCGAGGAACCUUACCCGGGCUUAAAUUGCAGAUGAAUUACGGUGAAAGCCGUAAGCCGCAAGGCAUCUGUGAAGGUGCUGCAUGGUUGUCGUCAGCUCGUGCCGUGAGGUGUCGGCUUAAGUGCCAUAACGAGCGCAACCCUUGUUGUCAGUUACUAACAGGUUCCGCUGAGGACUCUGACAAGACUGCCAUCGUAAGAUGUGAGGAAGGUGGGGAUGACGUCAAAUCAGCACGGCCCUUACGUCCGGGGCUACACACGUGUUACAAUGGGGGGUACAGAGGGCCGCUACCACGCGAGUGGAUGCCAAUCCCCAAAACCUCUCUCAGUUCGGACUGGAGUCUGCAACCCGACUCCACGAAGCUGGAUUCGCUAGUAAUCGCGCAUCAGCCACGGCGCGGUGAAUACGUUCCCGGGCCUUGUACACACCGCCCGUCAAGCCAUGGGAGCCGGGGGUACCUGAAGUGCGUAACCGCGAGGAGCGCCCUAGGGUAAAACUGGUGACUGGGGCUAAGUCAAA
rnacentral:rRNA from 1 species